rnacentral:rRNA from 1 species
GAUCAUGGCUCAGGACGAACGCUGGCGGCGUGCCUAACACAUGCAAGUCGAGCGAUGAACCCUCGGGUGGAUUAGCGGCGGACGGGUGAGUAACACGUGGGUAACCUGCCUCAAAGAGGGGGAUAGCCUCCCGAAAGGGAGAUUAAUACCGCAUAACAUUAUUUUUUCGCAUGAAGAGAUAAUCAAAGGAGUAAUCCGCUUUGAGAUGGACCCGCGGCGCAUUAGCUAGUUGGUGAGGUAAUGGCUCACCAAGGCAACGAUGCGUAGCCGACCUGAGAGGGUGAUCGGCCACAUUGGAACUGAGAUACGGUCCAGACUCCUACGGGAGGCAGCAGUGGGGAAUAUUGCGCAAUGGGGGAAACCCUGACGCCAGCAACGCCGCGUGGGUGAAGAAGGCCUUCGGGUUGUAAAGCUCUGUCUUCUGGGACGAUAAUGACGGUACCAGAGGAGGAAGCCACGGCUAACUACGUGCCAGCAGCCGC